UCACAGAUGUAAUAGAAGACCCACACCACAUUCCUGACGCAAGCUGUAAGACAGGACUAGAUAGGAAGACAGAAGCUGAACAAGCAUGUAAAAAUGUUCCCGAAGAAACUAAAAAGGUUGCAGCAGAAAAACUCACUGAAUAUGUCGAAGCCAGAAAACCGCUAAUGUCUACAAGUGAUGUUAAAGAAUAAAGAGGGCAUUGCAUUUGCUGUAUCUUGCUAUAUAUGUAUUUGUUAUAAAAUUAUUGGUUGUCUUACGAUGCGUAGACAGUAAUGUGAUCCUUAUAAGCAUCUUUACAAAACUUCUUGCAACUGCUUCAUCUAUAAGAAUAUUCUCGUUGACCAAUGUGGUGGAUUAAACGUCUAUUUGAAAAGUCUUUAAUGGUAAAAUCUCAAAGAUUGGCAUCAACCCCAAUGGGCAUUUUAAAUGAAGAUGCACGUUUUCCUCGUGCAAAUCGACACUGCCUAAAAUAUCACCAAAAGUAUUUGAUUAUGAUAUACAUGGCUGUGAUUACAUAUGUCUUGUUACAGUUCUUUUGCAUUUACAUUAUUAUUCAUAUUUUCAUUUACAAGACAUUUUUGUUUUAAUAAAACAGAAAAUCUACCAAGGAGUUUAUAACACAAUCAAAUGUGUAUUUAAUCUGUUUAUGUGUGUGAAAUGUUUUUAUUGGAGCUAAGCUUCAGUUGUUGUCAUUUGAAACGUCUUUGUAUAUGUAUUAGUGAAUUGUUUUUUUCAUGUUUUGCGAAGUCAAGCUUAUGUUAUUGGAUUUAAAAUAUAUAUGUAAUUGUGUGCAAAGGUCGUUAUUAUUUUACCCGUUUACCGAUUUGUUUUGUUUUGUAAUAUUAUUUUGCAGUGCAGAAACGUUCCUGCGGUAGACGCUUGACAUUGUUAUUGUGCAUAUUGAAUCAGAAAUGUUAUUACACUAAUAAAUAUUCAAAAAA